rnacentral:rRNA from 1 species
UACAGAGGUCCCAAGCGUUGUUCGGAUUCAUUGGGCGUAAAGGGUGCGUAGGCGGCGCGGUAAGUCGGGUGUGAAAUCUCGGGGCUUAACUCCGAAACUGCAUUCGAUACUGCCGUGCUUGAGGACUGGAGAGGAGACUGGAAUUUACAGUGUAGCGGUGAAAUGCGUAGAUAUCGUAAGGAAGACCAGUGGCGAAGGCGGGUCUCUGGACAGUUCCUGACGCUGAGGCACGAAGGCCAGGGGGGCAAACGGG